GGAAAACACUAUAUCUCAGUGGUAGAGCACCCACCUUGCAUGCAGAAGGUCUCAAGUUCAAUUCCUGGCAUCUCCA